GAGUUUGAUCAUGGCUCAGAUUGAACGCUGGCGGCAUGCUUUACACAUGCAAGUCGAACGGUAACAGGGAGCUUGCUCCGCUGACGAGUGGCGAACGGGUGAGUAAUGCGUCGGAACGUGCCGAGUAGUGGGGGAUAACGCAUCGAAAGGUGUGCUAAUACCGCAUACGAACUGAGGUUGAAAGUGGGGGACCUUCGGGCCUCACGCUAUUCGAGCGGCCGACGUCUGAUUAGCUAGUAGGUGAGGUAAAGGCUCACCUAGGCGACGAUCAGUAGCGGGUCUGAGAGGAUGAUCCGCCACACUGGGACUGAGACACGGCCCAGACUCCUACGGGAGGCAGCAGUGGGGAAUUUUGGACAAUGGGCGCAAGCCUGAUCCAGCCAUGCCGCGUGUCUGAAGAAGGCCUUCGGGUUGUAAAGGACUUUUGUCUGGGAGCAAAUACCCGGUGUUAAUAGCGCCGGGGGCUGAGAGUACCAGAAGAAUAAGCACCGGCUAACUACGUGCCAGCAGCCGCGGUAAUACGU
rnacentral:rRNA from 1 species